CGUUUGUUGUGAAUUCAGAUCCAAAAAAUGGCAGGUGGACUCGCAGCACGUUUCUCGAAGCUCUCGAUUCCCCAAUCCUCCGAUGUAAAGGCCGCCGCCAUGUGGGGCGUUGCCGCCGGCACCGGCGCUCUUUGGUUCGUCCAGCCGUUUGAUUGGAUAAAGAAGACAUUUUUCGAGAAGCCUGCUGAGACUGAAGGCCAAUAAAUUUCACGAUGUUGCUGGAUCUAGAUCCGUCGUAACGCAAUUUUCAUCGUCGUUUUCAAGUUUCAAUGAGCCAACCAAUCAGAGGAGAGAUUCUAAUUUCCCAUCUGUUUCAAUAAUUUGCUUGUUUUAGAAUUUCCAAGGGACUAUUUUUUUUUUAAUUGAAUAUUCUCUUUAAGAUUUGGUUGUGGUUUUUGCU